rnacentral:rRNA from 1 species
AACGAACGCUGGCGGCAGGCCUAACACAUGCAAGUCGAGCGCCCGUAGCAAUACGGGAGCGGCAGACGGGUGAGUAACACGUGGGAACGUGCCCAAAGGUACGGAACAACUCCGGGAAACUGGAGCUAAUACCGUAUGUGCCCGAAAGGGGAAAGGAUUUAUCGCCUUUGGAUCGGCCCGCGUCUGAUUAGCUAGUUGGUGAGGUAAUGGCUCACCAAGGCGACGAUCAGUAGCUGGC